CCCCCCCCCACCAGGUGAUCAAUGCUAUAGAACAGGACUACCGUCUGCCCCCCCACCGGAGUGUCCCUCCUCUCUCCACUCCCUCAUGUUGGACUGUUGGCAGAAAGAGAGAGCUGCUCGUCCACGAUUCGCCAACGUGGUCUCAGCGCUCGAUAGGCUGAUCAGAAACCCCGCCUCCCUGAAGAUCACACAGCCGGACGGACCUGGUUCCUCCCAGCCCCUGUUAGACCAGCGCCCCCCCCCCUCCCCUGUCAGCCUGUGGGUCUGUCUCAGAGUGGCUUCAUGCUAUCAAGAUGUCUCGUUAUGAAGAGAGCUUUACACAGGCAGGAUUCACCAACCUGGAGGUCAUCGCACAGAUCUCUACAGAGGACCUGUUGCGUAUAGGAGUGACUCUAGCGGGACACCAGAAGAAGAUUCUCUCUUCCAUCCAGACCCUUAGAGUUCUCAAAACUCCUCCCACACUCAGAUACUGACCAAUCACCUAUUACAGCCUCCUGGAAGCUCCCCCCACCCUUCCAUACUGGCCAAUCACACCAAAGCCCUUCAACAAGCCACCAGCCAACCACGUACCAGUUGUGACGAUGUCACUACGCCAACGGUGUCCCAAGCCAAUCAUUGUACUCGGUUCCACUGUGAUGACACAAUAGAUGUGUGUGUACUCUUCAACCAAUCAGGAAGACUGAGAGAGAGACAGACAUGAACUCUCUCCUGAGAGAUUCCUUCAGUUUUACAAUACUGCCUUGUUGGAAUACUCAACACUUACUUGGUUUUAUAAUACUGCCUUGUUGGAGUCCACGGGAAUACUCAACAUUAACUUGGUUUUAUAAUACUGCCUUGUUGGAGUCCACGGGAAUACUGGACAUUAACUUGGUUUUACAAUAGUGCCUUGUUGGAGUCCACGGGAAUACUCAACAUUAACUUGGUUUUAUAAUACUGCCUUGUUGGAGUCCACAGGAAUACUGGAUAUUAACUUGGCUUUACAAUACUGCCUUGUUGGAAUACUCAACAUUAACUUUGUUUUAUAAUACUGCCUUGUUGGAGUCCACAGGAAUACUGGACAUUAACUUGGUUUUAUAAUACUGCCUUGUUGGAGUCCACGAGAAUACUCGACAUUAACUUGGUUUUAUAAUACUGCCUUGUUGGAGUCCACGGGAAUACUCAACAUUAACUUGGUUUUAUAAUACUGCCUUGUUGGAGUCCACAGGAAUACUGGAUAUUAACUUGGCUUUACAAUACUGCCUUGUUGGAAUACUCAACAUUAACUUUGUUUUAUAAUACUGCCUUGUUGGAGUCCACAGGAAUACUGGACAUUAACUUGGUUUUAUAAUACUGCCUUGUUGGAGUCCAUGGGAAUACUCAACAUUAACUUGGUUUUAUAAUACUGCCUUGUUGGAGUCCACAGGAAUACUGGACAUUAACUUGGUUUUAUAAUACUGCCUUGUUGGAGUCCAUGGGAAUACUGGACAUUAACUUGGUUUUAUAAUACUGCCUUGUUGGAGUCCAUGGGAAUACUGGACAUUAACUUGCUUUUAUAAUACUGCCUUGUUGGAGUCCACGGGAAUACUCAACAUUAACUUGGUUUUAUAAUACUGCCUUGUUGGAGUCCAUGGGAAUACUGGACAUUAACUUGGUUUUACAAUACUGUCUUGUUGGAAUACUCUACAUUAACUUGGUUUUAUAAUACUGCCUUGUUGGAGUCCAUGGGAAUAAUGGACAUUAACUUGCUUUUAUAAUACUGCCUUGUUGGAGUCCACGGGAAUACUCAACAUUAACUUGGUUUUAUAAUACUGCCUUGUUGGAGUCCACGGGAAUACUGGACAUUAACUUGGUUUUAUAAUACUGCCUUGUUGGAGUCCAUGGGAAUACUGGACAUUAACUUGGUUUUAUAAUACUGCCUUGUUGGAGUCCAUGGGAAUACUGGAUAUUAACUUGGUUUUACAAUACUGCCGGGAUCCUCUGGGAAUACCGUUGGAAUACUGUGGAAGAUUUCUCCCCUGGAACACUGUUUGGGAUGAAGGAUUUCGCCCAAUCAGGUUUUCCCAGAUAUUCCCUCUGACUGAGGUGUGGUGCUGGACCUUGUAGACUGACUGCUUCUAGAGAGACUGCCUCUGAUUUAAACCUGACUUCUAGAGAGACUGCCUCUGAUUUAAAACAUGACUUCUAGAGAGACUGCCUCUGAUAUAAAACAUGACUUCUAGAGAGACUGACUGAUUUAAAACCUGACUUCUAGAGAGACGGACUCUGAUUUAAAACCUGACUUCCAAAGAGACUAACUCUGAUUUAAAACCUGACUUCUAGAGACACUGACUCUGGUUUAAAACCUGACUUCUAGAGAGACUAACUCUGAUUUAAAACCUGACUUCUAGAGAGACUGACUCUGAUUUAAAACCUGACUUCUAGAGAGCCUGACUGAUUUUAAACAUGACUGCUUCUAGAGAGACUGCCUCUGAUUUAAAACCUGACUUCUAGAGAGACUGACUCUGAUUUAAAACCUGACUGCUUCUAGAGAGACUGACUAUGAUUUAAAACCUGACUGCUUCUAGAGAGACUGACUCUGAUUUAAAACCUGACUUCUAGAGAGACUGACUCUGAUUUAAAACCUGACUGCUUCUAGAGAGACUGACUAUGAUUUAAAACCUGACUUCUAGAGAGACAGCCUCUGAUUUAAAACCUGACUGCUUCUAGAGAGACUGACUCUGAUUUAAAACCUGACUUCUAGAGACUAACUCUGAUUUAAAACCUGACUUUUAGAGAGACUGACUCUGAUUUAAAACAUGACUGCUUCUAGAGAGACUGACUCUGAUUUAAAACCUGACUGCUUCUAGAGAGACUGACUAUGAUUUAAAACCUGACUUCUAGAGAGACUGCCUCUGAUUUAAAACCUGACUUCUAGAGAGCCUGACUCUGAUAUAAAACCUGACUUCUAGAGAGACUGACUGAUUUUAAACAUGACUGCUUCUAGAGAGACUGCCUCUGAUUUAAAACCUGACUUCUAGAGAGACUGACUCUGAUUUAAAACCUGACUGCUUCUAGAGAGACUGACUAUGAUUUAAAACCUGACUUCUAGAGAGACUGCCUCUGAUUUAAAACCUGACUGCUUCUAGAGAGACUGACUCUGAUUUAAAACCUGACUUCUAGAGACUAACUCUGAUUUAAAACCUGACUUUUAGAGAGACUGACUCUGAUUUAAAACCUGACUGCUUCUAGAGAGACUGACUCUGAUUUAAAACCUGACUUCUAGAGACUAACUCUGAUUUAAAACCUGACUUUCAGAGAGACUGACUCUGAUUUAAAACAUGACUGCUUCUAGAGAGACUGACUCUGAUUUAAAACCUGACUUCUUCUAGAGAGACUGACUCUGAUAACAUGAUCAGGUCUAUAUGGACUUCUUAGGAACGAGAGGGAGGGGAUAAAACAGAAAGAGAGAGAGAGGGGGGGGGGGAGAGAUAGAGAGAGGGUAAAACAGAGAGAGGGGUUGUAAAACACAGAGAGAGAAAGAGAGGGUAAAACACAGAGAGAGAGAGAGAGGGUAAAACUGAGAGGGUAAAACACACAGAGAGAGAGAGAGAGGGUAAAACAGAGAGAGAGGGUAAAACACAGAGAGAGAGAGAGAGGGUAAAACAGAGAGAGAGGGUAAAACACAGAGAGAGAGAGAGAGGGUAAAACAGAGAGAGAGGGUAAAACAGAGAGAGAGAGAGAGAGAGAGGGUAAAACAGAGAGAGAGAGAUAGGAGGAUGGAAGAGCAUAAAAGACUGAUAGACUGAUAAAGACGGACAAUUCUCCUCUCCUCUAUCAUCUCUCCAUCUAUUUGUUCCUGGGUCAGUGUUCAAAGAUACAAUACUACCGCGGUCUAGUGAGACUGCUGCGCUGAGACUUUCAGAAUGUCUGCUGCCAUUUCAUGACCUCUCCCAAGUCACAGAGGUACUGAUGGACCCUAGAGUUGACCUCUGACCCGAGCCCAGGUCUCCAUGACCUAUGAAACUAUGGGACUUUAGUCCUGAGGCCUCUCCCGUUGCAUUAUGGGUGAGGUAGUAUCCCAGGCCCUCACAUUGAACACUCUGUAUUGAAGUUGUUUAUCGUUUAUUAUUAUGAUGAAUUCAGGAUGUUUUGCAAUAAUUAUUCUGUUGCCUUUUCUAAGAAACAGUUAAUAAAUAUGACUGAUAUAUAUUAUUGUUAUAGUAUAUAUACAGUCGUACAUAUGACUGAGCCAUGUCUAUUUGAGAGAAGAUUGAUUGGGAGAGGGGCUUGUCUGUCUGUUGCUGUGAACCAAUCACAAUAAAGAUGACUUAAGCUGUCCCGCCCA